ACUCAAAGGAAUUGACGGGGGCUCACACAAGCGGUGGAGCAUGUUGCUUAAUUCGAAGCAACGCGAAGAACCUUACCUGGGUUUGACAUGCUUGGAUUAGUCGUUGGAAACAGCGAUGACACUCGCAAGAGUGGAACAAGCACAGGUGCUGCAUGGCUGUCGUCAGCUCGUGCUGUGAAGUGUCGGGUUAAGUCCCUUAACGAGCGCAACCCUUGUCGCUAGUUGCUAACGGGUAAUGCCGAGGACUCUAGCGAGACUGCCGGUGUCAAACCGGAGGAAGGUGGGGAUGACGUCAAGUCCUCAUGGCCCUUACAUCCAGGGUUGCAAACGUGCUACAAUGGUGCGUACAGAGCGACGCGAGACCGCAAGGUGGAGCAAAUCGCAAAAAACGCACCCCAGUUCGGAUUGCAGGCUGCAACUCGCCUGCAUGAAGCCGGAAUCGCUAGUAAUCGUGGAUCAGCUACGCCACGGUGAAUAAGUUCCUGAGCCUUGUACACACCGCCCGU
rnacentral:rRNA from 1 species